rnacentral:lncRNA from 1 species
GGAAGUCAACUUCUUUGCUGGAGCGGGCCCUUUUUCUCCUCUGCUGCCCCGGAACGUGUUCAAUAGGUACGGCCGCAAGGGGCGCCGUGUCCGGGGCAGCGACAGGCUCCGUAGCAGUGGGGUUUCUCUCUGGGAGGGCCACCCCCGUGGGAAUAGUUGUCUGCCGCAUAACUGGGGGUGGCCUCGCCACAGUUGGGCGUCUGGGAGGGGCAGCACUCUUCUUGCCCUUCCUUCGGAGGUCAGCCUCCGGAUCCUCCUGAACCUCCUCCUCCGUCGGAGGCUGAAGUCUCUUACUGGCCUCCACCAGCUC